rnacentral:lncRNA from 1 species
CCUGCACCAGCACCUGGGCCCUUCUCCAACACAGACCCGAACCAGGAAGAUCCGGAUAAAGACACUGUCUGCACUCUACUCAGAUGCCCUUUGAGUCUAUGCGCUGUUUCUGGGCUCAUCCUCCAGCCUCAACGUGUUUGCUGCCACACAGCAUGUCCUGUGGGACUGGAGAAAUAUGGAGAAUGCAGCACACUUGCUUCC